AUUGAACGCUGGCGGCAGGCUCAACACAUGCAAGUCGAGCGGGGGAAGGUAGUUUGCUUUUCAUGAGAGUGGCGCACGGGUGCGUAACACGUAUGCAACCUACCUUGUCCAGGGGGAUAGCCCGUUGAAAGACGGAUUAAGACCGCAUAACAUUGAGCUGUGGCAUCACAAAUCAAUCAAAUAUUUAUAGGGACAAGAUGGGCAUGCGCCUGAUUAGGUAGUUGGCGGGGUAAUGGCCCACCAAGCCGACGAUCAGUAGGGGAUCUGAGAGGAAGACCCCCCACACUGGUACUGAGACACGGACCAGACUCCUACGGGAGGCAGCAGUAAGGAAUAUUGGUCCAUGGGCGGAAGCCUGAACCAGCCAUGCGGCGUGCAGGAAGCCGGCCCUACGGGUGGUAAACUGCUUUUAUACGGGAAUAACCCCGGUUUCGGGAAACCGGCUGAAUGUACCGUAAGAAUAAGGAUCGGCUAACUCCGUGCCAGCCGCCGCCGUAA
rnacentral:rRNA from 1 species